UUGGCUUCUCGGCCUUUUGGCUAAGAUCAAGUGUAGUAUUUGUUCCUAUGUCCAUUACUAACUUAGUCACUUUAUUUUCCCUGCAGGUCACUUUAAAUUUUGACACUUGUCACCCUGUAUAUACUGUCUACCCUGCUGUUACGUUACUUUUAGUACUGCAUGUCUAUCCUGCUGCUGUAACAACUGAAUUUCCC